GUCAGUGUGGCAUAGUGGUAUCAGUACUGGACUACAACUCUGGAGAUCAGGGUUCAAGUCCCAGCUUGGCCA